UACGAAGGGGGGCUAGCGUUGUUCGGAAUUACUGGGCGUAAAGGGCGCGUAGGCGGCGUGUCAAGUCAGGCGUGAAAGCCCCGGGCUCAACCUGGGAACCGCGCUUGAGACUGGCACGCUCGAGUUCGGGAGAGGAUGGUGGAAUUCCCAGUGUAGAGGUGAAAUUCGUAGAUAUUGGGAAGAACACCGAUGGCGAAGGCAGCCAUCUGGACCGACACUGACGCUGAGGCGCGAAAGCGUGGGGAGCAAACAGG
rnacentral:rRNA from 1 species